rnacentral:rRNA from 1 species
GCCCAGUCAUAAACCUUGAUGAUAAAAUACAAAUAUCAUCCGCCAGGGAACUACAAGCGUAUUGCUCGAAACCCAACGGACUUGGCGGUGCCCCACACCCACCUAGAGGAGCCUGUUCUAUAACUGACAAUCCCCGUUCAACCUCACCACCCCUAGCCUAUUCAGUCUAUAUACCACCGUCGUAAGCUCACCCUGUGAAGGAUUAACAGUAAGCAAGAUGGGCAAACCCCAAAACGUCAGGUCGAGGUGUAGCAUAUGGAGUGGGAAGAAAUGGGCUACAUUUUCUGAACACAGAAUAUUAACGGACAACGUCAUGAAACCUGCCGUUCAAAGGAGGAUUUAGCAGUAAAAAGAAAAUAGAGAGUUCUUUUGAAGCCGGCCCUGGGGCGCGC